AGCAUAUGCUCUAUUUUAUAACCAACCGGCGGUCUAUCUGGGGAGGAGAGAGCGGUUUCCGAGUCGUCGCAUCAGGUCCGAUCCGCUCGAUUCGCCGGCGGCGCCACCAACCAGCAAGGUGAUGCCUCCUCCUUCCUCUUCCCCAAUUAGUUCCGAUGGUGCCGUCGGGGAGGGUGCCGAUGGGUUGGCGGAUUUUAACCCCACAUCAAUGGAGUGACGCCUACCUCUGAAAUGGGGACACGCCGACCUCGGCGUCGAUCCUGCCCCGAACGUCGAGCAGGAGGCCCCUGAGCCUCGCCACCUCCGCCUCCAGAGCCACGUGGUCCUGUAGCAGAGACCUGUAGUAGGCAUCGAUAGCAGAGACCUGUAGCAUGCAUGGUCCUGUAGCAGAAACUUGUAGUGUGCUCCGACUAGGUCUUCGACGCGGGUUUCAUUCUCCACCGACGACUCGCGGCAUCGACAUCGCGUGCUUGGUGUUCAUCGAUUUCGGGAUUUCGGGUGGACGUCCGAUCUGGUGGUGUAGGCAGUGGUGACCAGAGACCUGUAGCAGAACAAGGUUUACUGGGGAGAAAUAGCCGUAAUAGAAUGUAAUACAGGUUUACCUGUAGCAGAACAAGGUUUACCUUGUAUAGGAGUAAUAGAAUGUAAUAGAAAUAGCUGUAAUAGAGACCUUGUAUAGGAGUAAGCUGGCACCUAUCUGGCACCUAUUACAGGUUUACCAGAGACCUGUAAUAGAAUGUAAUACUGUUAACUAAACACAUCGACAUCCCGAAAUCCUGAAAUCCCGAAAUCCCGAAAUAGGAGUAAAUUCUAUUAUCUGCCAUUUCUAGUAGUGAUGGUAACAUCAUUUCUGUUACUCAACACAUCGACAUUUACUGACACAUCUACUUUCGCAUAGGAGUAAGCUGGCUGCUUUGGUUCUGGCAAAGUGACGCUAUCGCUGAUAAGAACUGCAACGACAUCAGGCAUUGUGGGACGAUCUACUGUUUUUUCUUGAACACACAGCAAGGCCACAACAAGGUAUUUCAUCAGCUCUUCCAGUUCGUAGUCAUCUCCAAAGGAUUGAUCAAUGAACUCAUUCCAUCUUCUAUCCUUCCACAGUUCCCAGGCCUGAAAAGAAAAUUGAUUCAUUACAUGUGUAUGGUGGUAUAGCUUUAGCUGUUAGAUGUAUCUACAACUGCUAGUGCUAGACAAUAGCAAUAAAACAGGGAGGUACAGGAAAACACCCUGUGCUUUGAGCCCUAUACUUCAUGGAAAGAAAUAAUGUACAACACCAUACAGAUACACUAUCAAUAGUUACUGAUAUGUUAGUAUAAUGCAAUCUUGUUAUAAGGGAAAACAUAUAUGUUUUACCAAUUCUAUAGAUUUUCGAGUCCUUGGUUGCUUACGUAUUCAAGAAGGUUGUAGAACUCUCCAUUGUGCUGAAAAC
rnacentral:lncRNA from 1 species